UACGGAGGGAGCUAGCGUUGUUCGGAAUUACUGGGCGUAAAGCGCACGUAGGCGGCUUUGUAAGUUAGAGGUGAAAGCCCGGGGCUCAACUCCGGAACUGCCUUUAAGACUGCAUCGCUUGAAUCCAGGAGAGGUGAGUGGAAUUCCGAGUGUAGAGGUGAAAUUCGUAGAUAUUCGGAAGAACACCAGUGGCGAAGGCGGCUCACUGGACUGGUAUUGACGCUGAGACGCGAAAGCGUGGGGAGCAAACAGG
rnacentral:rRNA from 1 species